rnacentral:rRNA from 1 species
AACGAACGCUGGCGGCAUGCCUAACACAUGCAAGUCGAACGAAGGCUUCGGCCUUAGUGGCGCACGGGUGCGUAACGCGUGGGAAUCUGCCCUUUGGUUCGGAAUAACAGCUGGAAACGGCUGCUAAUACCGGAUGAUGACGAAGGUCCAAAGAUUUAUCGCCAGAGGAUGAGCCCGCGUUGGAUUAGGUAGUUGGUGGGGUAAAGGCCUACCAAGCCGACGAUCCAUAGCUGGUCUGAGAGGAUGAUCAGCCACACUGGGACUGAGACACGGCCCAGACUCCUACGGGAGGCAGCAGUGGGGAAUAUUGGACAAUGGGCGCAAGCCUGAUCCAGCAAUGCCGCGUGAGUGAUGAAGGCCCUAGGGUUGUAAAGCUCUUUUACCCGGGAAGAUAAUGACUGUACCGGGAGAAUAAGCCCCGGCUAACUCCGUG